rnacentral:rRNA from 1 species
GGCCCUACGGGAGGCAGCAGUGAGGAAUAUUGGUCAAUGGCCGGGAGGCUGAACCAGCCAAGUCGCGUGAGGGAGGACGGCCCUACGGGUUGUAAACCUCUUUUGUCAGGGAGCAAGGUGCAGGUCGUGACCUGUUGUGAGAGUACCUGAAGAACAAGCCCCGGCUAACUACGUGCCAGCAGCCGCGGUAAAACGUAGGGGGCGAGCGUUGUCCGGAAUGACUGGGCGUAAAGGGUGCGUA